rnacentral:rRNA from 1 species
GACGAACGCUGGCGGCGUGCUUAACACAUGCAAGUCGAACGGAAAGGCCUGCUUUCCCUUGUGCAUUGCGGGUACUCGAGUGGCGAACGGGUGAGUAACACGUGAGUGAUCUGCCCCCAACUUGGGUAUAAGCCUGGGAAACUGGGUCUAAUUCCCGAUAGGACUGCAGGGUGGUGCCUGUGGUGGAAAACGAUUUUCUAGUGGUUGGGGAUGAGCUCGCGGCCUAUCAGCUUGUUGGUGGGGUAAUGGCCUACCAAGGCGGCGAAGGGUAGCCGGCCUGAGGGGGUGGACGGCCACAGUGGGACGGAGAUACGGCACAGAGACCUACGGCAGGAAGCAGUGGGGAAUAUUGGACAAUGGGCGGAAGCCUGAUGCAGCGACGCCGCGUGGGGGAUGACGGCCUUCGGGUUGUAAACUCCUUUCGGCCGCGAGGAAGCCACCUGGUUGGAAGGGUGGUGACGGUAGUGGUAGAAGAAGCACCGGCUAACUACGUG